UACGGAGGGAGCUAGCGUUAUUUGGAAUUACUGGGCGUAAAGCGCACGUAGGCGGCUUUGUAAGUAAGAGGUGAAAGCCUGGAGCUCAACUCCAGAACUGCCUUUUAGACUGCAUCGCUUGAAUCCAGGAGAGGUGAGUGGAAUUCCGAGUGUAGAGGUGAAAUUCGUAGAUAUUCGGAAGAACACCAGUGGCGAAGGCGGCUCACUGGACUGGUAUUGACGCUGAGGUGCGAAAGCUAGGGGAGCGAACGGG
rnacentral:rRNA from 1 species